rnacentral:rRNA from 1 species
CCUACGGGAGGCAGCAGUGGGGAAUAUUGGACAAUGGGCGCAAGCCUGAUCCAGCAAUGCCGCGUGCUGUGAAGAAGGCCUUCGGGUUGUAAAGCACUUUUAUCAGGAACGAAAAGCGUUGGAUUAAUACUCUGACGUGCUGACGGUACCUGAGGAAUAAGCACCGGCUAACUUCGUGCCAGCAGCCGCGGUAAUACGAAGGGUGCAAGCGUUAAUCGGAAUUACUGGGCGUAAAGCGUGCGUAGAUGGUUCGCUAAGUCGGAUGUGAAAGCCCCGGGCUCAACCUGGGAACUGCAUCCGAUACUGGCGGACUAGAGUGUGAUAGAGGAUGGCGGAAUUCCCGGCUGUAGCGGUGAAAUGCGUAGAGAUCGGGAGGAACAUCCGUGGCGAAGGCGGCCAUCUGGAUCAACACUGACGUUGAGGCACGAAAGCGUGGGGAGCAAACAGGAUUAGAUACCCUGGUAGUCCACGCCCUAAACGAUGUCGACUGGAUGUGGGUGCAACUUGGCAACUCAGUUCGAAGCUAACGCGUUAAGUCGACCCGCCUGGGGAGUACGCGCGCAAGCGUGAAACUCAAAGGAAUUGACGG